AGUUAACUUCAACUCCUAGUAAUGGAACACAAGGAUAGAGGACCAAAACCAGUGGAGCCAGCUCACCUUGUUCUUCCCUCGCCUUUGGAUGUUACAAGAAUUUGAUGUAUGAACAAUUCACCUGAGAUGUGAAGAACGACAUUAUUUGAUUAUUCAGAGGAGUUCAAGGAGUAUGUUUUCACCUGAGCUGUUGUGUAUUAAAAUUGCAAAUGAAGGCCUGGCACGGAGACUUAUGCUUGUAAUCUCAGCACUUUGGGAGGCCAAGGUAAGAGGAUUGCUUGAGCUCAGGAGUGAGACCAGCUGUGAUGCAUAGCAAGACCCUGUCCCUAUUUUAUUUUUCAAAUUUCAAAUGAACUCAGUUUGUUCUAUUCUGAUCCUCUUUUUUGCAGAAGACAUGAGUAAAGAGGUCAUUGACAGAGAAGGAUAUUUCCGAGAGGGGAAGUUUGACUUUCUGACAAUGUUUCCUGUACAUAAACUAUUGAUGUCAGCAUCUUCACAUGAAGACAUAUCAGUAAGGGCCAGGAGACGUUUAGCAAUACACUUACACAGUUAAUAAGACAAAUCUAGUAAAAAAAAAAAAAAAA